UCUUUUUCUCUCUUAUCACCCUCUCCCCCCUCUCUGCCACGCCGCCUCGCCGCCGCCCGUCGCCGCCGGCCGGAAAUCGCCGCUGCCGGCGGCAACCCUCCAAUCCACCCCAAAAUUUCACCAUAUCUUCCCCUCUUCCUCCUCUUUCUACCUAUACCACUCAUAUCCUCCAAAUCUCUACCAAUCUCCGCAGAUCUAAGCCUAACCGAAACCCUAGCCGCCGCCCACCACCCCAAACUCCAAAAAUUUUACACCACCGGCCUCCUCUUCUCCCCCUCUUUCCAUAUCUCCGACUCAAACAUCAAAAAAAAACCCACGCCGCCCUAGCGCCGCCGCCACUGCCGCCCACUGCCGCCCAGUGUCGUUGAUAUUACUGAAACCGGACUCGGAUUCACCGAAAUUUUUUGGUUUCAAGAAUAUCAACAAUAGAAGCUUGCUCGAAAGUCGUACCACUGCCUAUCGUCGUCUCCUGGAUGCUCGAGUAUAUGAUAUUUUCACAUUAACAAGAAGAUUUGAACUCAUCUUGAUUGUUGGAGCAUAUCCAUUUAAAUGAACGAGGGCUUAGCUAAAUUUCUUUAUUGUUUAAAUAUAUCUUGUUGUAGUUCAUAUGUAAAAAUAUAAAUCCUUGGUUGAUCAAACACCCUUUAUUCAUG